rnacentral:snRNA from 1 species
GAAUCUGAGGGUGACCUGGCUGUGACAAGCCACCCCACUGAUCACCAGUGUUUUUUCAACUGAUCUUACUGGCUUGCUGGGUGUCCCCUUUCUCCUCCAUAGUUCCCUGUCCCUGUCUGUCCUUCCUGAAGCAGAGCGCUCGGUCGAAAAGGACACUUUAUUUUUUUUUAAUGUUAAAGAACUUUCUAUGUUGAUUUCUGUUUAGGUAAGUGUCAAAUUUCUCAUUUAUCUCAACCUCCUAGAACUGAAAAAUGGAAAAGGAAAAAUAGGAAUAAGAAAUCCUUUUCUGUAGAGCUCUUAGUUUUUUUUUUAAAAAACAAC